AGUCAAAACAAUGGUUUUUAUUGUAUUAUAAUUCCUAGAACAUAAAAACGUCAAUGGUUAUCCCGGCCAUAUAAUAAUUUAUUAUAAUAGUCGGAGCAUUAAAACGACUAAAAUAUCGAAGGCGAUUACGCGGGGCACAGUCCGCGCCAUUAUUAUCACCGUACGUAAACAUCGAUGUUGAAAAUAUCGUCGACGAUCGGUGAAUAUUAUUAUUGACUUUCCGAACGUGACAAUUAAAAACCGUAGUCCGUGUGUAUAAUACUAAAAUAUUAUAAAAAAUCGUCUGCCGUCCGCGUAUAUUGUGUUCGACGGGCCUCAGUGAAUAUUGCUGUUGUUGCUAUGUAACAGUUUUCGGGAAAUUCGCUCGUUUCAUUAUUUGUCAGACUUGCUUUUUCGACAUUAUCUCUAUCGACUAUCAACUAUCAAGCACCGCGCGCCCUCACUUUCGCAUCGCCGAGUGCCGACUGCCGCAGUGCCGAACCGCCGUCAACUGUCGAUAUCAAUUUACUAUCGUCUUCAGACAGGCGUCAUAAUAAUUGCAAUUAUUUUAGUCGUUUUCAAUACGCUUUUACAUUCCACCCCGGUCGCGCGACACCGAAACGAUUUUUAUCCGACAAAUCGUACAAGUGAUACACAUUUUUCGUCGCCCACUACCUCAGCCCGUUCCGGAAAAUGUCCAACAACGACUGUAGAAUUUACGUGGGAAACCUGCCGCCCGACAUACGCACGAAAGACAUACAAGAUUUGUUCUACAAAUUCGGUAAAGUGUUGUUCGUCGAUUUGAAAAAUCAGAGAGGACCGCCGUUUGCCUUUGUCGAGUUCGACGAUCCUAGAGAUGCAGAAGAUGCAGUUCAUGCUAGAGAUGGUUAUGAUUAUGAUGGCUACAGAUUACGUGUAGAGUUUCCACGUGGAAAUGGUCCACAUAGAAGUGGCGGCGGUGGUGGCAGUAGUAGUGGUGGGGGCGGUGGUGGUGGAAGUUAUAAUAGAGGAGGUGCUAGUGGUGGAAGCGGAAGAAGCAGAGGUCCACCAGCAAGGCGUUCUCAGUAUAGAGUACUUGUUACUGGAUUACCAGCGUCAGGAAGUUGGCAAGAUUUAAAAGAUCAUAUGCGUGAAGCAGGAGAUGUGUGUUAUGCAGAUGUAUACAAAGAUGGAUCCGGCGUAGUUGAGUUUUUACGUUAUGACGAUAUGAAAUAUGCUGUUCGUAAGCUUGAUGACUCGAGAUUCAGGUCUCACGAGGGUGAAGUUACAUAUAUUCGAGUAAAAGAUGAUUAUGGCGGUGGAAGCAGUCGGCGCAGUCGUGAUUAUAAUAGUCGCAGUCGUAGCCGCUCUGCUAGCUAUUCACCUAGAGAUCGUGGAACACCAACAUAUUCACCAGUUAGAAAAAGUCGUAGUUAUUCAAGAUCUCGUUCCCGUUCGUAAUAUUGAGGAUAACCAAAUGACUGCCUGUCUCAAGUCAAUGGAAAACAUUUUAAUGAUGAUAAUAAUGUAUUGCUUACUAUACUGGACAACAACCUUGCCCUCUUGUUUUUAAUCAGUGGACAUACAACAGAAUCCAUUCACUAAGUUAAUCAAUAUCACUGUACACUGGCCAUCUGAUCAAUACAUCAUAAAUUUUAUUGAAAACGUUUAAUGUAAUAAAUACAGACAAUUUACAAGAUGGUAACAUGGAUAAUUAAAAGAGUAAUAAUUCAAAUGAAAGAAGUGACUGGAGAAAGAAAUUAUAGGCGCUGCAAAUAUUUUUUGACUACUGUCCACAAAACUAUCACUCCAUUUUUUUUUAAAAUAUUAUUUUGACAAAUAUCUUUCAUACUUCAGUAAUAAGAACUUUUGAUUAUAUUCACAUUCCACACAUAAUGUCGAGGCAUUGAGUUAAAAAGUUAAUUUUAUUUUAACUUUUUAACUUAACUAGUUACUUUUGGGUUUUCAUUAACUGUUAACUUACUAAAAUUCUUUCUUAAUUAACGUGAAGUUAACGAGUUAAUUUUUCAUUUUAAGAAGUAAGUUAAGUUAAUUAAUUUUUUUUUUUUUUUUAUAAUAUUUCACUGUUUCAGUCCAUUUUGUUUUCAUGUCAAAAAAUAUGUAUCGUAAAUUGUUUAAAGUUAAAAAUGUGUAUCAUUCGAAUCUAACUUAUAUGGAAAUACUGUAUGAAGUAUUAACACUAUAUCCUAUAAUUUAGUUUUGGGUUGGAAAAAAAUUAAGUACGCUAGUGUUGUAUAAACAAAUUAACUUUUUUUUAACUUAAUAAAAAGUUAACAAAAAGCGUGUAUUAACUUUUAACUUAACUGAGUUAACCUAGAGUUAAAUUAACUUUUAACUUUAUGUUAUAGGUGCCUAUUAACUUAACUUAACUGAGUUAAAAAAAAUCAUUAACUUGCCCAGCCAUGCAUAAUGUGUACCUCUACUCCAACUUUUUUUCUAUUUUAGUUUCACUCGUAUUAACCUAUAAAAAAUCUAUACAAACAAAAGUUUUAUCACUUUUUUUUAAUGAUGUUACCAAGGUUAACCUGACGGAUUUAUAGAUUUUUGAUAAUUUCCCCUUUUCCAUCACGAGUUUUGACAUUGGACAUUACUUACAAGAACCCAGGAAUAAUAUUCAUUUUUUUUAUACUUAUUUAUU